rnacentral:rRNA from 1 species
GGGGGGGGCGGCGGCCUACACAUGCAAGUCGAGCGGAUGACGGGAGCUUGCUCCUUGAUUCAGCGGCGGACGGGUGAGUAAUGCCUAGGAAUCUGCCUGGUAGUGGGGGACAACGUUUCGAAAGGAACGCUAAUACCGCAUACGUCCUACGGGAGAAAGCAGGGGACCUUCGGGCCUUGCGCUAUCAGAUGAGCCUAGGUCGGAUUAGCUAGUUGGUGAGGUAAUGGCUCACCAAGGCGACGAUCCGUAACUGGUCUGAGAGGAUGAUCAGUCACACUGGAACUGAGACACGGUCCAGACUCCUACGGGAGGCAGCAGUGGGGAAUAUUGGACAAUGGGCGAAAGCCUGAUCCAGCCAUGCCGCGUGUGUGAAGAAGGUCUUCGGAUUGUAAAGCACUUUAAGUUGGGAGGAAGGGCAGUAAGUUAAUACCUUGCUGUUUUGACGUUACCGACAGAAUAAGCACCGGCUAACUCUGUGCCAGCAGCCGCGGUAAUACAGAGGGUGCAAGCGUUAAUCGGAAUUACUGGGCGUAAAGCGCGCGUAGGUGGUUCGUUAAGUUGGAUGUGAAAGCCCCGGGCUCAACCUGGGAACUGCAUCCAAAACUGGCGAGCUAGAGUACGGUAGAGGGUGGUGGAAUUUCCUGUGUAGCGGUGAAAUGCGUAGAUAUAGGAAGGAACACCAGUGGCGAAGGCGACCACCUGGACUGAUACUGACACUGAGGUGCGAAAGCGUGGGGAGCACACAGGAUUAGAUACCCUGGUAGUCCACGCCGUAAACGAUGUCAACUACCCGUUGGAAUCCUUGAGAUUUUAUUGGCGCAGCUAACGCAUUAAGUUGACCGCCUGGGGAGUACGGCCGCAAGGUUAAGACUCACAUGAAUUGACGGGGCCCCGCACAAGCGUUGGAGCAUGUGGUUUAAUUUCAAAACAACGCGAAAAAACCUUACCAGGCCUUGACAUGCAGAAAAAUUUUCCGGAGAUGGAUUGGUGCCUUCG